CUGUAAUCGUUAGAGUGGGUGACCAGGUUCAGAUGAAAUGGGACCCAGCCCCUGGCUCUACCCAAGGCUUUCUGGCUAAGAGUCACGUCUGACUGCAAAGUUGGGGUGCAGGACCCUCUGGCUUCCCCAGGACCCCACCUGGGUGGACUCGCUGUGGGAAGCACACGGAGGGGCAGAGGAUGCUGAAUGCUCCAAGGUCAGACCCAGGAAGGUGGAAGCCGUGUGACCUUCUUGCCCUGAAGACAGUCUGCUCACAGAGAGGAGACUUCACCAGAGUCCUGAUUGGCUUCAUAGGGAGCAGUUCCAGAGCAUCGCCCGGGUACUCCGUGACAGACAGGCUCAUCCCCUGUGCCCUCUCAUAGUCCAACAGAGCUGAGCUCACUCAUGUUGUCCUCUAGGGCAUCUUCCAGCACUAGUUACUGCCUAGGGCAGCUCAGCAGUUCCAGGCGCAAAUGCCUUUGGGGGUGUCAUAAAUAAAAAGGGAAGGGUAACAACAACAAAUGAGGAGAGGCUGAGGGAACUGGGAUGAUUUAGUAUGCAGAAGAGAAGAAUGAGGGGGGAUUUGAUAGCUGCUUUCAACUACCUGGAAGAGGGUUCCAAAGAGGAUGGAUUUAGACUGUUCUCAGUGGUACCAGAUGACAGAACAAGGAGUAAUGGUUUCAAGUUGCAGUGGGGGAGGUUUAGGUUGGAUAUUAGGAAAAACUUUUUCACUAGGAGGGUGGUGAAGCACUGGAAUGGGUUAGCUAGGGAGGUGGUGGAAUCUCCUUCCUUAGAGGUUUUUAAGUCAGGCUUGACAAAGCCUUGGCUGGGAUGAUUUAGUUGGGGAUUGGUCCUGCUUUGAGCAGGGGGUUGGACUAGGUGACCUCCUGAGGUCCCUUCCAACCCUGAUAUUCUAUGAUUCUAUGAAGAGGAGAAAGGUUUUAAAGGUUUUGACAAAGUUUGUUUUGCAUAAUCACUCAACCAGCGUUUCAAUAGGAAGGCCUGAUUGGAUUUCUUUGUUUGUUCUUGAGUUUAAUCAAUAACACUGCUCUACAGCCAAAAUGCUUCUGAAAUAAAUGUAGUCAAACUUUA